rnacentral:rRNA from 1 species
UACGUAGGGUCCGAGCGUUGUCCGGAGUUACUGGGCGUAAAGCGCGCGCAGGCGGCCCGCGAGGUGUCACGUGAAAGCCCCGGGCUCAACUCGGGAGGGUCGUGGCAAACCGGCGGGCUUGAGGCCGGUAGAGGUGGGUGGAACUCCUGGUGGAGUGGUGAAAUGCGUAGAGAUCAGGAAGAACACCCGUGGCGAAGGCGGCCCACUGGGCCGGUACUGACGCUGAGGCGCGAAGGCGUGGGGAGCGAACAGG